ensembl:lncRNA
UUUGUAACAACAAUUCCAUUAAAGAACACGUGAUUCUGCCCACCAUAACACGGUUUCACUACACAGUGCAGCAUUUGAUGCAGCAAGGGAACAAGGAAGUUUCCAUCACUAAGGCCCUAAUUCUGCAAACAGCUAUUUUUUUGGCUUGAACUCUGUUUGCACAUGCAGUCGUCUAGUAACUACGCACAUAUGUAAAGUAAGCAACUACAUGAUCAAAUUCUAUUACCAAAAAGCUUGAUCAUCUGACAGCUGUUCAGGUAAUGAAAGAAAAAAAUGCCCACUCCUCAAAAGAAGCACACUCAACUGCCCUUAAAGCUUCCAUACCUCAAAAACAGAAACAGGACAGGAGAGAACAGGAUGUGGCGAGAUCACAUGCUUAGCGUGUAAAGGUAAUACUGAUCCAAAAUAUCUUGCAUUUGGGAAAAGCAAUGAUUAUUUUAAUCUCCAAGAGAAGUUAAGAACAAGUCACAACCAAAAAGGAAAGAAUUUGAAAGACAAUCCCACUGCUUGAUAGAACUACUCCUCCUGAAGAUGUAUACCUCACUGUCUUGAGCUACACAACCUCCAGAUCACAACUGCUUCCUAGCACAGAUGCUGUGAACACACAGAGGGAGUUCCUUCACUGCAGAGAUGUGAGCAUAAAUCAGUCCUUGCAGUACACAAAGCCGCACACAAAUGCACAACGAUUCAUGCUACUGCAUGAAGCCCCUUCACUGAAUGAGGAG